rnacentral:rRNA from 1 species
GAUGAACGCUAGCGGCAGGCUUAAUACAUGCAAGUCGUGGGGCAGCAGGGGUGUAGCAAUACAUCUGCUGGCGACCGGCAAACGGGUGCGUAACACGUACGCAACCUUCCCGUUACUGUGGCAUAGCCCAGGGAAACUUGGAUUAAUACCACAUAUUAUAUAGAGAGGGCAUCCUUUUUAUAUCAAAGCUUCGGCGGUAACGGAUGGGCGUGCGGUUGAUUAGGUAGUUGGCGGGGUAACGGCCCACCAAGCCUACGAUCAAUAGCUGAUGUGAGAGCAUGAUCAGCCACACGGGCACUGAGACACGGGCCCGACUCCUACGGGAGGCAGCAGUAAGGAAUAUUGGGCAAUGGACGAAAGUCUGACCCAGCCAUGCCGCGUGAAGGAUUAAGGUCCUCUGGAUUGUAAACUUCUUUUCUCUGGGGCGAAAACCAGCUAUUCUUAGCUAUUUAACAGUACCAGAGGAAUAAGCACCGGCUAACUCCGUGCCAGCAGCCGCAGUAACAC